CCUGAGACUAAAGUCGUAUCCUGAUACGUGCUGUUGUCUUGGUGUAAUAUAGUAAUCAUUGACUAUCUACUGAUUUUAUUCACUAUACUGCAGCUCCUUAUAGCUCAAUCAGUUACAAGAUUAGUAACAUUG
rnacentral:snoRNA from 1 species